GAUGAAGAACGUAGCGAAAUGCGAUAAGUAAUGUGAAUUGCAGAAUUCAGUGAAUCAUCGAAUCUUUGAACGCACAUUGCGCCCGCCAGUAUUCUGGCGGGCAUGCCUGUUCGAGCGUCAUUUCAACCAUCAAGCCCCCGGCUUGUGUUGGGGACCUGCGGCUGCCGCAGGCCCUGAAAAGCAGUGGCGGGCUCGCUGUCACACCGAGCGUAGUAGCAUACAUCUCGCUCUGGGCGUGCUGCGGGUUCCGGCCGUUAAACCACCUUCAUAACCCAAUGUUGACCUCGGAUCAGGUAGGAAGACCCGCUGAACUUAAGCAUAUCAAUAAGCGGAGGA
rnacentral:misc_RNA from 1 species